AAGUCGUAACAAGGUUUCCGUAGGUGAACCUGCGGAAGGAUCAUUAUUGAAUGUUUGAAGUAGUUGAGCUGGUCCUAACGGACAUGUGCUUGCCGCUUCUAUUCAUCUCAUCCACCUGUGCACUUAUUGUAGAGCUUUGAGGAAUGUCCUAGUUCAUUCUGGGACUAGUAUUCGGGUUCUAUGUAUUUCACAAACUCUAUGAAUGUCUUGAAUGUCUUUUUAUUGGGACUUAAUUGGCCCUUUAAACUUUGUACAA
rnacentral:misc_RNA from 1 species